GGCGGGAUGGCGUAAUGGCAACGCGUUGCUUUCCGGCGUGGAGUAUGGCAAAGAUUGUGGGUUCGAGUCCCAUUCUCGUCG